AUACCAACAUUCUACUAAUGAUUUAACGGAUGAGUAAUCAAAAUAUUAACUAAAAUAAACAAUCAAAGACCGAAUUCUAAGUUUUUUUUUUGUUCAACAAAUCUUUCAUUCAAUAGGAACCAGAUUAAUAGAGUGUUACUAGUGCCACAGGUGGAACUUGAGCCCAGUUUGAUGGACAAGAAUGAAUCCUAGUUUUUCCUGCGAUCCAGUCAACAGCUCGAUUACAGUUCCUUUUGAUAAACUUAAACGAUACAUCAUUAACUCUAGAAACUAUCGAUAGAAUAUCUACAGCAAUUCCAAAAAUCUCCCAAGGGCACUGGUUCUUUUUUUAUAAGCAUUGAAUGAGUUGAAGAUUGUCAGGUUCAAAUUCCACAGACUGCCAGUUGUUAUCAGCCGCAAGUAUGGAACCCAGCCUUAUAGCUUGGGCUUCAGCCGCUAAUGCCGUAGACACAUGCAUCAACGAGUUGGUUCUAUCUGCAAUAUCUCCAUUGCCGUUCCUGGCAAUUGCAGCCACCCCAGCUUCUCCAAUUUUCCAAUUUAGAGAAGAACCAUAGUUGAUUUUUACAACUUGAGGUGGCGUUUUGUCCAUUCGGAGUUGAGGGCAAAGUUAGGGUGGGACCUCACAGGAACUGAAUUCUAAGUUUCAUUGUCACGUCACACCGACAAAGAAUAGUAAUAGUAAAUAGUAGGGUUAGGACAGGUGCAGCUCUCUCAUCUAUGUAUCUUUUAAUUUUGUAGACUGCAUCUGCGUUGCACUGCUGGAAUCUAAUUGUGUACGUAUGUUUUGGAUAUUAUAUAUUAUUCCGGUUCACGUGGGGGAGCCACGAUUCACA
rnacentral:lncRNA from 1 species